CAUUUGAUACUGCAGACUUAUGACAAGAUUCAUGUCGAACCAAAGAAAGUACACACUUGAAAGUGUCUUGAGCGAACUCUCUUGCCCAUUGCUACUUCUCUGGGGUGACUUAGACCCUUGGGUCGGUUCUGCCAAAGCUCUUCGAAUCAAGGAGUUCUAUCCGAAUACCUCCCUUGUAAACCUACAAGCAGGACAUUGUCCACACGACGAAGUUCCAGAAGAAGUUAAUAAGGCUUUAUUGAAUUGGCUAUCAACUUUGACAUCUACACCUCCCCAAGCAGCAUAAACAUGUCUGGUGAACAUUUUUAGUAAUCACUGCUUAGAUCUGAAUUCAGCAUUUUUACAAAUUUGAAUUGUAUAUACAUUAGUUCACCAUAAUGUGUAUCCCAUUAGUCUUUCUAUCCCAAGAAAACUGAAAACGAGUGGAUUUUCUACGUCAACAAUGGAAAGAUUAGAUGAUUUUACUCUCUCUCUCUCUCUCUCUCUCUCUCUCUCUCUCUCUAUAUAUAUAUAUAAGAUGCCAUGUUAUGUAAGUUAUGUUGACUGGGCUCGUACAAUGGCCUGCAACAAGAGACUUUAAUGCAC
rnacentral:lncRNA from 1 species